rnacentral:rRNA from 1 species
AGAACGAACGCUGGCGGCAGGCCUAAUACAUGCAAGUCGAACGCCGUAGCAAUACGGAGUGGCAGACGGGUGAGUAACGCGUGGGAAUCUUCCUAAUGGUACGGAAUAGCCCGGGGAAACCCGGAGUAAUACCGUAUACGCCCGUAAGGGGAAAGAUUUAUCGCCAUUAGAUGAGCCCGCGUCGGAUUAGCUAGUUGGUGGGGUAAUGGCCUACCAAGGCUACGAUCCGUAGCUGGUCUGAGAGGAUGAUCAGCCACACUGGGACUGAGACACGGCCCAGACUCCUACGGGAGGCAGCAGUAGGGAAUAUUGGACAAUGGGCGAAAGCCUGAUCCAGCCAUGCCGCGUGAGUGAUGAAGGCCUUCGGGUUGUAAAGCUCUUUUGGCGGGACGAUAAUGACGGUACCGCAGAAUAAGCCCCGGCUAACUUCGUGCCAGCAGCCGC